ACCUGUAGUAAUUUUACUGUUUUGUAUUUAAGAUGCUGCAUGAAAUGACAAUGAGGUUUGGAGCAGACUUGGCGAAGAACAUGGAAACAUCUCUGAAUGAAAUGGCCCCAAACAUCAUCAGGAGUGCAAAAGAAGGAAGUCAAAAAAAACUCUACGCCAAUCUCAUUGGACUAGCAGAGGAAACCACAGAAGGAACCCAAAGGUGCUACACCAACCAUAGUGUUUAACGGCUCUCCUGAUCCCCUCAAGGCUGAAAGCGUCAGCAUUAUAAUGGACAAUGUGAGCAUCAUAAGAGAGGCAGACACUGACAUGACACAGGCUGUGGAAUGCCUAUUUGCAGUUUAUUUUCUCUUCAAUGUGCAAUACCCGGUUGACAUUAAGCACACAAUGACUUUUAUUCAAAAAUAUAUGCUUAAACUUAGACAAGAGCAUGGCAAAAGAACACCAAUACCUGUACUGAAAAUGUACAGUCAACUUGUGUAAAUUGUAG
ensembl:lncRNA